rnacentral:rRNA from 1 species
UACGUAGGGCGCAAGCGUUAUCCGGAAUUAUUGGGCGUAAAGAGCUCGUAGGCGGUUUGUCGCGUCUGCCGUGAAAGUCCGGGGCUCAACUCCGGAUCUGCGGUGGGUACGGGCAGACUAGAGUGAUGUAGGGGAGACUGGAAUUCCUGGUGUAGCGGUGAAAUGCGCAGAUAUCAGGAGGAACACCGGUGGCGAAGGCGGGUCUCGUGGGCAGUAACUGACGCUGGAGGAGCGAAAGCGUGGGGAGCGAACAGG